AUGAAGUCAGGAGUCCAUCAUAUGAGAGCACCACCGUUCGAUGUUCUGGACACCAAAAUCUGGAUAAGUGUUCAAUAUAAGCUCCUCACCGAUCAACAAUAUACCAAAAGAAAAUCAGUCGAUGCAUUGGCACAAAAAAUAUAUGGCAAACAAAUAUGUUACAUUAAACCAAAAGAAAAAGUCUGUUUAGUACAAGAAAAUGAAAAACGUGAAACCAAUAGUCCUAUUUUUAUUUUUUAUUUUUUAUUUUUAACGGGGAUUUAUUUUAUCACUGAUCGUAAGAAAUCAAUAGCUAUUUGCUUCAUACAAAGAAAGAAAAAUUAUACCCACACAGCCCAAAAAAUUGAACACAUGGGGCAACUCAUAGAAAAGCAUAAGGCCUAG
rnacentral:rRNA from 1 species